rnacentral:ribozyme from 1 species
UUUUUUUUUUUUUUUUUUUUUUUUUUUGCUCUCAAAGUUUGAUUUUGCGUAUCACGACUUCUUUAGUGCAGGUGUGUGUGAAUGUUGCUGCUUUAAGAAAUAGACAUUGAACGUCCCUUGA